rnacentral:rRNA from 1 species
AGUGGCGGACGGGUGAGUAACGCGUGGGUAACCUGCCUCAGUACAGGGGGAUAACAGUUAGAAAUGACUGCUAAUACCGCAUAAGCGCACGGUUUCGCAUGGAAACAGUGUGAAAAACUCCGGUGGUAUGGGAUGGACCCGCGUCUGAUUAGCUGGUUGGCGGGGUAACGGCCCACCAAGGCGACGAUCAGUAGCCGGCCUGAGAGGGUGAACCGGCCACAUUGGGACUGAGACACGGCCCAAACUCCUACGGGAGGCAGCAG